rnacentral:rRNA from 1 species
GACGAACGCUGGCGGCGUGCUUAACACAUGCAAGUCGAACGGUAAGGCCCUUCGCUUGCCCCGGGUGGCUGAGGGGCGAGCGAGUGGUUAAUAAGUUGCUCUCCUGCUCGGGAUACUGGUGUGAACCUGGGACUCAUGCUCUAAUUCCAGAUACUGCCGCCCAGUGCGGGGUGGUGUGUUUAUAGGUGUUGGAUGGGCCCGCGGCCUAUCAGCUUGUUGGUGGGGUAAUGGCCUACCAAGGCGACGACGGGUAGCCGGCCUGAGAGGGUGAUCGGCCACACUGGGACUGAGACACGGCCCAGACUCCUACGGGAGGCAGCAGUGGGGAAUAUUGCACAAUGGGCGGAAGCCUGAUGCAGCGACGCCGCGUGAGGGAUGACGGUCUUCGGAUUGUAAACCCCUUUCAGUAGGGACGAAGCGAGAGUGACGGUACCUGCAGAAGAAGCACCGGCCAACUACGUG